rnacentral:rRNA from 1 species
GACAGAGGGUGCAAACGUUGUUCGGAAUUACUGGGCGUAAAGCGCGUGUAGGCUGCUCAGAAAGUCGGAUGUGAAAUCCCCGGGCUCAACCCGGGAAGUGCACCCGAAACUGCGAGGCUUGAGUACCGGAGAGGUUGGUGGAAUUCUCGGUGUAGAGGUGAAAUUCGUAGAUAUCGAGAGGAACACCGGUGGCGAAGGCGGCCAACUGGACGAGUACUGACGCUGAGACACGAAAGCGUGGGGAGCAAACAGG